UACCGAGGGUGCGAGCGUUCAUCGGAAUUACUGGGCGUAAAGCGCGCGUAGGCGGCUUUGCAAGUCGGGUGUGAAAUCCCCAGGCUUAACCUGGGAACUGCAUUCGAGACUGCAUUGCUAGAGUAUGGGAGAGGGAAGUGGAAUUUCCGGUGUAGCGGUGAAAUGCGUAGAUAUCGGAAGGAACAUCAGUGGCGAAAGCGACUUCCUGGACCAAUACUGACGCUCAUGUGCGAAAGCGUGGGGAGCAAACAGG
rnacentral:rRNA from 1 species